rnacentral:rRNA from 1 species
AUGGCAAGGCUCUUUGCUGUGUGCUUGGUUCUGCUCGCCUUCACCAUGGCCGUGGCGGCAGAUAUGGCGCCGAUGAUGGCCCCGAUGGCGGCAGAUAUGGCGCCGAUGAUGGCCCCGAUGGCGGCGCCGGCGGCCGACGCGGCCGACUGCAACAGCGACCUGCAGGACCUGGUUGCCAACUGCCAGAACUACGUCAUGUUCCCGGCCGAGCCGAAGAUACCGCCGUCGCCGGCCUGCUGCGCCGUGAUCCAGAGGGCGGACAUGCCGUGCCUGUGCGCCAAGGUCACCCCGGCGAUCGAGAAGGUCGUCUGCAUGGACAAGGUCGUGUUCGUCGCCAAAUACUGCAAGAGGCCCUUGCAGCCUGGCUCCAACUGCGGAAGCUACCCCGUUCCUGGUGCGUUCGUGUAG